rnacentral:rRNA from 1 species
GACGAACGCUGGCGGCGUGCCUAAUACAUGCAAGUCGAGCGGACAGAAGGGAGCUUGCUCCCGGAUGUUAGCGGCGGACGGGUGAGUAACACGUGGGUAACCUGCCUGUAAGACUGGGAUAACUCCGGGAAACCGGAGCUAAUACCGGAUAGUUCCUUGAACCGCAUGGUUCAAGGAUGAAAGACGGUUUCGGCUGUCACUUACAGAUGGACCCGCGGCGCAUUAGCUAGUUGGUGAGGUAACGGCUCACCAAGGCGACGAUGCGUAGCCGACCUGAGAGGGUGAUCGGCCACACGGGGACUGAGACACGGCCCAGACUCCUACGGGAGGCAGCAGUAGGGAAUCUUCCGCAAUGGACGAAAGUCUGACGGAGCAACGCCGCGUGAGUGAUGAAGGUUUUCGGAUCGUAAAGCUCUGGUGUUAGGGAAGAACAAGUGCAAGAGUAACUGCUUGCACCUUGACGGUACCUAACCAGAAAGCCACGGCUAACUACGUGCCAGCAGCCGCCGCCGUAA